AUUGAACGCUGGCGGCAUGCUUUACACAUGCAAGUCGAACGGCAGCGCGGGCUUCGGCCUGGCGGCGAGUGGCGAACGGGUGAGUAAUACAUCGGAACGUGCCCAGUAGUGGGGGAUAGCUCGGCGAAAGCCGGAUUAAUACCGCAUACGACCUGAGGGUGAAAGCGGGGGAUCGUCGGACCUCGCGCGAUUGGAGCGGCCGAUGGCAGAUUAGCUAGUUGGUGGGGUAAAGGCCUACCAAGGCGACGAUCUGUAGCUGGUCUGAGAGGACGACCAGCCACACUGGGACUGAGACACGGCCCAGACUCCUACGGGAGGCAGCAGUGGGGAAUUUUGGACAAUGGGCGAAAGCCUGAUCCAGCAAUGCCGCGUGUGUGAUGAAGGCCUUCGGGUUGUAAAGCACUUUUGGCGGGAACGAAAAGGACUGUGCCAAUACCACGGUUCGAUGACGGUACCCGAAGAAUAAGCACCGGCUAACUACGUG
rnacentral:rRNA from 1 species